CGACAAUGAUCCUUCCGUAGGGUGAAUCUGUGGAAGGAUCAUUGUCGAAACCUGCAAAUGACCCGCGAACUAGUUAUCAACAUGUCGGGGGUGACGGGCCAAUCCCCGUGACCCUCGUGCGGCCGAAGGCGGCCAGGGGUGCCAAGCUGUUGGCAAACCUGGCCCACCUCCGGCCCAACAAACCAACCCCGGCGCGGCACGCGCCAAGGAACCCUGUAAUAAAAGAAGGAUCACGCUCCCGCCCGUGCCGGAAACCGGAUAAUGCGGUCGGGUGGCCAUCCUCCUGUUCAUAACAAAAACGACUCUCGGCAACGGAUAUCUAGGCUCUUGCAUCGAUGAAGAACGUAGCGAAAUGCGAUACUUGGUGUGAAUUGCAGAAUCCCGUGAACCAUCGAGUCUUUGAACGCAAGUUGCGCCCGAAGCCUUCUGGCCAAGGGCACGUCUGCCUGGGUGUCACACAUCGUCGCCCCCAAUCCCGAUACCACACCGUGGCUACUCGGGCAGAGGAUGGGCGGAUAAUGGUCUCCCGUGCGCACCCGCUCGCGGUUGGCCCAAAGAGAAGUUCCUGGCGAUUGCAAGCCACGACCAGCGGUGGUUGAAAGGCCCUCGACGGGAGUCGUGAGCACCUGCAUCGCAUGUUGGGACAUGCUGACCCCGAUCCUGUUCGAUGCUUCGAACAAUCACAAAGUGACCCCAGGUCAGGCGGGACUACCCGCUGAGUUUAAGCAUAUCAAUAAGCCGGAGGAA
rnacentral:rRNA from 1 species